rnacentral:rRNA from 1 species
GACGAACGCUGGCGGCGUGCUUAACACAUGCAAGUCGAACGAUGAAGAAAAGACUUGAAGCUUCGGCAGAAAUUCAUUUCGGAUUAGUGGCAGACGGGUGAGUAACGCGUGAGCAACCUACCUCUUACAAAGGGAUAGCCUCGGGAAACCGGGAUUAAUACCAUAUAACAUUGCGACGAAGCAUUUCGAUGCAAUCAAAGCUACGGCGGUAAGAGAUGGGCUCGCGUCCCAUUAACCAGAUGGUGAGGUAACGGCUCACCAUAGUAACGAUGGGUAACCGGCCUGAGAGGGUGAACGGUCACACUGGAACUGAGACACGGUCCAGACUCCUACGGGAGGCAGCAGUGGGGAAUAUUGCACAAUGGAGGGAACUCUGAUGCAGCGACGCCGCGUGAGUGAUGAAGGAAUUCGUUUCGUAAAACUCUGUUCUAUGGGAAGAAAAGGACUGUACCAUAGGAGAAAGCUCCGGCUAAAUACGUG